rnacentral:rRNA from 1 species
UACGUAGGGGGCUAGCGUUGUCCGGAAUCAUUGGGCGUAAAGCGCGUGUAGGCGGUCCGGUAAGUCCGCUGUGAAAGUCGGGGGCUCAACCCUCGGAUGCCGGUGGAUACUGUCGGGCUUGAGUACGGAAGAGGCGAGUGGAAUUCCUGGUGUAGCGGUGAAAUGCGCAGAUAUCAGGAGGAACACCAAUUGCGAAGGCAGCUCGCUGGGACGUUACUGACGCUGAGACGCGAAAGCCAGGGGAGCAAACGGG